UACGUAGGGUGCAAGCGUUGUCCGGAAUUACUGGGCGUAAAGCGUGCGCAGGCGGUUGUGCAAGACCGAUGUGAAAUCCCCGGGCUUAACCUGGGAAUGGCAUUGGUGACUGCACGGCUAGAGUGUGUCAGAGGGGGGUAGAAUUCCACGUGUAGCAGUGAAAUGCGUAGAGAUGUGGAGGAAUACCGAUGGCGAAGGCAGCCCCCUGGGAUAACACUGACGCUCAUGCACGAAAGCGUGGGGAGCAAACAGG
rnacentral:rRNA from 1 species